UCAUCGGUGGUUCAGUGGUAGAAUGGUAGAAUGCUCGCCUGCCACGCGGGCCCGGGUUCGAUUCCCGGCCAAUGCA
rnacentral:tRNA from 1 species